GUUACGAGCAACGUUUAUCAUACACGCUUACAAAAAAUCAAAUAGUGGUGUAUAAACGUAUUCAAUGAUUUUUCCAAAUAACUUGACCGAGCAAGUGCAUAAAAAGUAAACAAUUCUUUAUUAUUGUUUUUUUUUUACUGUGGAAAACAUGUGAAAUAAACACAAACAUUGUUUUGUCAAUCUUGUCCAGUAAAGGUGUUUAAAAAAUUAUGUUUUCUAAAUUUAAAAACUACACCUGCGUGGUGUUUUUUUUAGCGUGUUCCUAAGUCUGCCAAAAACAAAAACAAAAUCUCCUUGGUGCGACGGCCACAAAAUUUUCAUCUCCAGUUGCUGCUAGUUUUGUGCGACCAAAUCUAUGGCAUUAUUCGCAUCAUCCGGUACCGGAUCCAGGAUUGCUGCUGGGUUUGAGAUGCUGCCGCUGAACAAGAAAGCAGCUGGAAAAUCAACCGGCAAAACAUCCAAAGCAGCCGCCACGGAACGAUACAAACAACGUUUUCGUCUACAAAUCUGCAUAGACGACUCGACAGGAUAAAAGACCGAAAUAUGGACAGUUCCAUUCGCCGCCUAGUCUCCGCAACCAGGGAUCAUUCGGUUUGCAGCUUCUGGAUGGAUACUUAUACGAAGUGUUUUAUUUUGUGCAAGGACGGCGUGAAGCUACUGGACAGACUGAUUGUCAAGAGUUUUGGUGUAUUUAUAGUGUUUAUAUUUCGGGGAAUAAAAUAAAAGUGUGUUGAGCAAUUAAUUUAAAACGCACAAUGAAA